CCAUCAUAGUUGGAGCUUCUCUAAAUGGUUUGUGCACAAGUGAGUGAGGCCGAAAUCCCAGUGAUCGGACAGAUGGAUUACAUGGGGGCAAACCCAUGAUUCCCAUCAUCCUCUGAGAUUGGUACCUUUUAACUGCUCCUCUCUCCCUUUUGUGUGCAUUCUGGUGGCCACCCAGUGCUUGGGAACUAAAGAAUUUCCUCAUGCAGAAGUUGCAUGAGAAGACCUUGUUGGAAGCAGAUUCUGGUUGAGACUCCUUGUUUCCAGCCAUCAGAGCAUCAUUUCUGCCGACCCCCAAGGUAAGCCACACUUUUGAAUCAUCAUCCCCAGUGUCCCCAUAAUCAUUGUUAUCUGCUUCUGAUCUACUCUUCUGAUUGUUAGCUGAUAGCUCUGCUAUUUCUUCUCUCGGGAAUGUCAUUUUCACAAUAAUCAAAGUACAGGGGGAUGGCUAAGAAGAGACUCUGUGAGAUGAUGGUAGUCACUCAUAAAGGGGGCUGAGCCAAU
rnacentral:lncRNA from 1 species